rnacentral:ncRNA from 2 species
UUAUCUUCAGGGCGGGGCGUAAUUCCCCACCGGCGGUAUAGCCCGCGCGCUAAGUUUUAGCAUGAUUCGGUGAAACUCCGAGGCCGACAGUAUAGUCUGGAUGAAAGAAGGUA